CCUGAAACAAGGUGGGNGCAAUGGGCUGUNCGUCCAGACUUCNUGUUCNUUGAGAUNGUUGGGGUUAAGUUCCUCGCAAUCNGAGGCGUCAACUCCUCNUCGGCAUNUCUGCCAGCGGGUUCGGGCCGGUCCACCCAUGCGAGGACCGCCGGCNUUAAGCCGGAGGAAGAGUGGGGNCGACGUCAAGUCAUCAUGCCCCUUAUGUNCCUGGGCUGCACACGUGCUACAAUGGUCGGCACAAUGGNCUGCCAGCCCGCGAGGGCGAGCGAAUCCNUAAAGCCGGCCCCAGUUCGNANNAGAGNNUGCAACCCACCUCCAUGAAGUCGGAGUUGCUNGUAACCGCGGAUCAGCACGUCCGCGGUGAAUGCGUUCCCGGGCNUUGUACACACCGCCCGUCACACCACCCGAGUUGAUUGCACCUGAAGUCGCCGUACCCAACCGGCAAGGGAGGGAGGCGNCCGAAGGUGUNNAUUGGUAUAGGGGGGUGAAGUUGUANCAAGGUAGACCGU
rnacentral:rRNA from 1 species